rnacentral:lncRNA from 1 species
CUUUUAUGCAAAAAACAGGCGAUAAUAAAUGCUGAUGAGGAUGUAGAGAAAAGGGAAGGCUUGUACACUGUUGGUGGGAAUGUAAACUAGUGCAACCACUAUGGAAAACAGUUUGGAGAUUCCUCGAAAAACUAAAAACAGAGCUACCAUAUGAUCCAGCAAUCCUACUGGUAAGUAAACAUACAAAAGAAAUUAAAUCAGUACAAGGGAGAGUUAUCUGCUAUCUCAUGUUUGUUGCAGCACUGUUCACAAUAACCAAAAUUUGGAAGCAACCUACAUGCCCAUCAACAGAGGAAUGGAUAAAGAAAAUAUGGUACAUAUACACAAUGGAGUACUAUUCAGCCAUAAAAAGACUGAGAUUCUGUCCUUUGCAACAAGAUGAAUGGAACUGAAGAUAAUUAUUUAAAGUGAAAUAAGCCAAGCACAUAAAGACAAACAUCACAUGUUCUCACUUAUUUGUGGGAUCUAAACAUCUAAACAAUUGAACUCAUGGACAUA